AGCGAACGCUGGCGGCAGGCUUAACACAUGCAAGUCGAGCGGGCACUUCGGUGUCAGCGGCAGACGGGUGAGUAACACGUGGGAACGUACCCUUUGGUUCGGAAUAACGCUGGGAAACUAGCGCUAAUACCGGAUACGCCCUUUUGGGGAAAGGCUUGCUGCCGAAGGAUCGGCCCGCGUCUGAUUAGCUAGUUGGUGGGGUAAUGGCCUACCAAGGCGACGAUCAGUGGCUGGUCUGAGAGGAUGAUCAGCCACACUGGGACUGAGACACGGCCCAGACUCCUACGGGAGGCAGCAGUGGGGAAUAUUGGACAAUGGGCGCAAGCCUGAUCCAGCCAUGCCGCGUGAGUGAUGAAGGCCUUAGGGUUGUAAAGCUCUUUUGUCCGGGACGAUAAUGACGGUACCGGAAGAAUAAGCCCCGGCUAACUUCGUG
rnacentral:rRNA from 1 species